UACGUAGGUGGCUAGCGUUGUCCGGAUUUACUGGGCGUAAAGAGCGCGCAGGCGGUCGUUCAAGUCGAGUGUGAAAGCCCCCGGCUCAACUGGGGAGGGUCACUCGAUACUGAUCGACUCGAAGGCAGGAGAGGGAAGCGGAAUUCCCGGUGUAGUGGUGAAAUGCGUAGAUAUCGGGAGGAACACCAGUGGCGAAGGCGGUUGCCUGGAGCUUUGCUGACGCUGAGGCGCGAAAGCGUGGGGAGCGAUCCGG
rnacentral:rRNA from 1 species